rnacentral:rRNA from 1 species
UGCCCUAUACACAUGGAUAACAUACUGAAAAGUUUACUAAUACAUGAUAAUAUAUAUUUACGGCAUCGUAGAUAUAUCAAAGUGUUAGCGGUAUAGGAUGGACCCGCGUCUGAUUAGCUAGUUGGUGAGAUAACUGCCCACCAAGGCGACGAUCAGUAGCCGACCUGAGAGGGUGAUCGGCCACAUUGGAACUGAGACACGGUCCAAACUCCUACGGGAGGCAGCAGCU